rfam:Neotoma lepida isolate 417 scaffold_149, whole genome shotgun sequence.
GAUGAAGUCAGCAACACAUGUAUCAUGGGAAUGAUACAGCGAUGAUUAGCAUGGACCCUGAAUAAGGAUGAUACACACAUUUGAGAAGUUUUCUAUAUUAGG